CCUACGGGGGGCUGCAGUGGGGAAUAUUGCACAAUGGGCGCAAGCCUGACGCAGCCAUGCCGCGUGUGUGAAGAAGGCCUUCGGGUUGUAAAGCACUUUCAGCGGGGAGGAAGGCGGUGAGGUUAAUAACCUCAUCGAUUGACGUUACCCGCAGAAGAAGCACCGGCUAACUCCGUGCCAGCAGCCGCGGUAAUACGGAGGGUGCAAGCGUUAAUCGGAAUUACUGGGCGUAAAGCGCACGCAGGCGGUCUGUCAAGUCGGAUGUGAAAUCCCCGGGCUCAACCUGGGAACUGCAUUCGAAACUGGCAGGCUAGAGUCUUGUAGAGGGGGGUAGAAUUCCAGGUGUAGCGGUGAAAUGCGUAGAGAUCUGGAGGAAUACCGGUGGCGAAGGCGGCCCCCUGGACAAAGACUGACGCUCAGGUGCGAAAGCGUGGGGAGCAAACAGGAUUAGAUACCCUUGUAGUC
rnacentral:rRNA from 1 species